UCCUUGGCAGUCCAGUGGUUAGGACAUGGCACUUUCACUGCAGGGGCCCAGGUUCAAUCCCUAGUCAGGGAA
rnacentral:tRNA from 1 species